UUUCCGUAGGUGAACCUGCGGAAGGAUCAUUAUUGUAAAACAGAGGGGGCGUCUUCCUCCCUGCUCCGGCUUUGCGGCCGUGAGCGGGUGGUCGCGCUCCUUUCCACAACCAAACCCCUGUGCACAUCUCUGGGGACUUCUGGUGGGUUUGCGCCUGCCGAGUCCCUGGCUUUACACAAACUCUUCUAUGUAUUUAGAAUGUUCAAGGACCUCGCGUCCUGUUAACAAAUAACAACUUUCAACAACGGAUCUCUUGGCUCUCGCAUCGGUGAAGAACGCAGC
rnacentral:misc_RNA from 1 species